AUAAACAUACGAUUUUACAAUUCGAUUGUACAUUCUGAUUUUAUGGACCCUCCACCAUUUUUACUUCAACAUUCGAUUUUGAGAGCCUUGGAUGAGAUGAAAGUGUUGUCUUGAGAAGCCAAAAGAGAGAAUUGCAGAAACCGGUGGUCGCACUCUGUAUUCGAGCCUCACCUGAUCUCUACCCGGAGUUUGCCAAGCAACAGAAGGAUGGGUUGGAAGACUGAUGUAACCGAUCGAGAGCAAAAUCUGCAAUCAAAUCUGGUAGCUGGACGCGAGAGAGUGGAAUGCAUGCUUGUAUGAUGUAUGUAUUUAUUUUCUUUGCGCUAGCCUAGGAUUAUGUGAUUGUGUUGCUCGGCCAAAGUGUUGGGUGGUUUUAGGGUUGGUUACUCGACUAAUUGGUGAGGGUGAUUAAUUUGAACAGGCCGAAUUGAUUAAAUUGAUUAUGGGUGAAAUUGUUCUUAUGGUUGUACGAGGAUACUGAACUUAAGGAAUUAUGCUUAUCCUAUUGUCAGACAUGUUAUCGGAAACGCUUGCAAAACUUGGUUUUGGUU